GGUUUGGAGUUAUCUAUUAGAGUCUGGUGGGCUCAUUACAGGGUACAAAACUGGAGGCAAUGUGCCCCUCCCACCAAGAAAUGGACAAUCUUCUAUUAGUGAAGCAUGGAGUCUCUCCCCACUUUGGACUGUCUUACUAUUUUGCAGGGACACCAUCAUGCUUAGAGGGCCAUUUUCUCUUAUUCUUGCUAAUGGUGAAGUACUUAAAAACAAAACCAACCAGUCAAACAGACCCUUAAGGCAUUAAAGAAGAAUGGCUUGAGAUGACACCCUUUGAACUCUGGGAAGAUGAGUGAGACCAUCUUGAGACUGGGCUAUAAGGGACUGUUACUGCCACAGCCUGUUGAGAAGAUCACAGAGCUCUGAGGAAGAACGAAUCUGGCAGUAAAAUAAAGAUGAAGGUUGCAGCAGCCUCAAAGAUCUCUUAGAUCCACACCUAAUCCUCAGAAACUUGUUCUGGGGAAGGAGAGCUUGGACAAGAGAGAGAAGGAUCCAUCAGAUCCAUCGGAACUUUAGCCUUAACGUGGGAAGUUUUAGUUGGUUUUAGUUUCAUUACAAUCAGAAAGACCUAAAUAGAUCUAUCACCACUGAAGCUAAAAUGAUUUAAAUAAAUCUGUUAGGGAAGAACAGAGAGGAGUAAUGGCCUGAAACUUUGCUUAAAACUGAAAACAAAGUAACAUGAAAUAAAAAUAGAAAGGAAGGAAAGGAGGACAGGGUGUGUGUGUGGGGGGGGGGGAUUGUAUUGAUUAGUAUUGAUUAGUAUCCCAUUUAUCUGCUGAAAAAAAUCAACCUGGCCAAUACAACCUGGGUUAUAUAUUUUCUCCUACCCCUUGAAGUGAUAAAAUCCAAAGCUAUGCUCCUACAGCUCCAGACUAAACUGCUGUUCUUUUGAUACUUGGAAGAUGUGAUGGCUUGUAAUGGUUGGCCCAGGGAGUGGCACUAUUGGAGGGUGUGGCCCUGUUGGAGUAGUUGUGUCACUGUGGAUGUGGGCUUUAAUACCCUUAUCCUAGCUGUCUGGAAGCCAGUGUUCUGCUAGCAGCCUUCAGAUGAGAAUGCAGGACUCUCAGCUCCUCCGGUACCAUGGACAUGGAUGCUGCCAUGCUCCUACCUUGAUGACAAUGGACUUAACCUCUGAAUCUGUAAGCCAGCCCCCAUUGAAUGCUGUCCUUGUAACAGUUGCCUUCAAUCCAGUAAUACCUCUCCUGGGCAUAUACCCAGAAGAUGUUCCUGGUAAUAAGGACACAUGCUCCACUAUGUUCAUAGCAGCCUUAUUUAUAAUAUCCAGAAGCUGGAAAGAACCUAGAUGUCCCUCAACAGAGGAAUGGAUACAGAAAAUGUGGUACAUUUACAUAAUGGAGUACUACUCAGCUAUUAAAAACAAUGAAUUUAUGAAAUUCUUGGGCAAAUGGAUGGAUCUGGAGGAUAUCAUCCUGAGUGAGGUAACCCAAUCACAAAAGAAGUCACAUGAUAUGCACUCACUGAUAAAUGGAUAUUAGCCCAGAAACUUAGAAUACCCAAGAUACAAUUGGUAAAACACAAGAAAAUCAAGAAGAAGGAAGACCAACCUGUGGAUACUUCAUUUCUCCUUAGAAUAAGGAACAAAAUACCCAUGGAAGGAGAUACAGAGGCAAAGUUUGGAGCUAAGAUGAAAGGAUAGAUCAUCCAGAGAUUACCCCAUAUGGGGAUCCAUCCCAUAAUCAGCCACCAAACCCAGACACUAUUGCAUAUGCCAGCAAUAUUUUGCUGAAAGGACCCUGAUAUAGCUGUCUCGUAUGAGGCUAUGCCAGGGCCUAGCAUACACAGAAGUGGAUGCGCACAGUCAUCUAUAAGAUGGAACACAGGGCCCCCAAUGUAGAAGAUAGAGAAAGUACCCAAGGAGCUGAAGGGGUCUGCAACCCUAUAGGUGGAACAACAAUAUGAACUAACCAGUACCUUCACAGCUCGUGUCUCUAGCAGCAUAUGUAGCAGAAGAUGGCCUAGUCCGUCAUCAUUGGGAAGAGAGGCCCUUUGGUCUUUCAAACUUUAUAUGCCCCAGUACAGGGGAAUGCCAGGUCCAAGAAGUGGGAGUGGGUAGGUAGGGGA
rnacentral:lncRNA from 1 species